CACGUAGGGUGCGAGCGUUGUCCGGAAUUAUUGGGCGUAAAGAGCUCGUAGGCGGUGUGUCGCGUCGGCCGUGAAAACCUGCAGCUUAACUGUGGGCGUGCGGUCGAUACGGGCAUCACUGGAGUUCGGCAGGGGAGACUGGAAUUCCUGGUGUAGCGGUGAAAUGCGCAGAUAUCAAGAGGAACACCUGAGGUGAAGACGGGUUGCUGGGCUGACACUGACGCUGAGGCGCGAAAGCCAGGGGAGCAAACGGG
rnacentral:rRNA from 1 species